AGGGCGCAGUGGUCCCGCGACCAUCAAACCAACAACACCGGCCUGCCCUGUCGUGACGCACAGCGCAAAACGGCAACCAGCCGACCGACCGACCGGCCAUCCGACCAACCGACCGACCGACCCCUCUCUCUGCUUCUACCUCUUCUUCUUCCUCUUCUUCUUCUCUUCUCGCCGCACGUCGUUCUCGCCGACGCCGCCCUCGACGACGUUCCUCGCGGCGGACCGGGACGUCGUCCUCGUCGACGGGAACCGUCACCGUCGCAUCCGCCGUACGUUGUCGUGCCCACCCGCGGAAUUGGGGGGAACCGCGGGGGUUCCGGAACCCCGAUCCCGAGGACCCCGGCCGGCACAGGAUCGCCGCCCUUGGCAGUACCGACAAGAGGAGUACCGCGCACGCGAGAGAAACAGAGAGGGAGAGAGAGAGAAAGAGAAAGAGAAAGAGAGAGACAAGAAAGCGAGCGAGCGAGCGAGCGAGCUGCCAGAUACCAGGUAGAACCAUGCGGUUCGUCGGCCUGGUACCAGGCCUCCCAUGAAUGGAGGAGGGUCCGCCAGGAUCGAUGGAGAGGGCGUGCUGCCUUCAGGGGAGGAUUGGUAUAUCCGUGACGUUUUCAACCCCACCUGAGCGAGACUGUCACGACGUACACGUGCUCGCUUACGUCACGAGGACGAGGCUGCAGGACGCGGGCCAUUCAGGUGUCAUCAGAGAAAAAAGGUCGGAAAAUCUCGGCGACACCACGAGGACAACCAGCCCGUGACUCUGAGACUACAGGAGAAACAAGAUAAUUUCGCGGUAAGGGAGAUUGGAAUUCAUGUAAAGUCGUAGCUGACAUUUUAUUGUGUAAGUCUAACAAUUAGUUAUGUUAAUUUGUAAUUUAUUACUUGGAAAAAAUCAUAACUUUGACGCUUCGAUAGAUGAAAAAUUUUGAGAAUUUUCUAAAUCUUACACGAGGUUAAAAACUCACAAUUCACAAAUUCGAGAAAUUCUAAAAAAGAAUAGGAAAAAUAGUUGAAUCAAUUAUCGAUGGAUUAUUUAUUACGUAAAACGUGUUUUUAUAUUUAUAAAUUGCUAUUAUUAUUAUGCAUAUCUUUUAUUACUCUUGAUGAAAUUAUGGGUUGUACGUGGAAGUUAAGGGAACUCCUCCAAGCGAGUUCGAUAUAUCACGAUCGCGUCGUCGCAUCACUCUUAUUCCUGCUACUUUAUAAUGCUUAUAAUUAGCUUCAUACCGCCACGCCCGAUUAAACACCCUUCUGCCCUUUUGCAUCCCUUGCUUUCCAACUCUUCAAAAAGUUCGGAAGCAAUCAUCAAUUAAUGAUGCAAUCACAAAAUCAC